CAUCUUUGAGAAACCCUUACAAUACUUAAGUAUUAAUCGAGUUUAAACCCUCCUCAAAGCCU
rnacentral:tRNA from 1 species